UGAUGACGAGACGCUAAGGCGUUGAAGCAGUGUAUGUCAGACUUCCAAGAAAAGCUCGCAAUGUCACAAAUAAGAAAUGCCUGUACCAAAACCGACACAGGUGGGUAGGUAGAGUAUACUAAGGGGCGCGAGAUAACUCUCUCUAAGGAACUCGGCAAAAUGACUCCGUAACUUCGGGAGAAGGAGUGCCUUAUUUAUAAGGUUGCAAUAACAAGAUCCAAGCAACUGUUUAUCAAAAACACAGGUCUCCGCUAAGUCGUAAGACGAUGUAUGGGGGCUGACGCCUGCCCAGUGCCAGAAGGUUAAAGAAGUUGGUUAGUGUAUGCGAAGCUGAUGACUGAAGCCCUGGUGAACGGCGGCCGUAACAAUAACGGUCCUAAGGUAGCGGAAUUCCUUGUCGGGUAAGUUCCGACCCGCACGAAAGGCGUAAUGAUUUGGAUACUGUCUCGGAGAGAGGCUCGGUGAAAUAGACUUGUCUGUGAAGAUGCGGACUACCUGCACCAGGACAGAAAGACCCUAUGAAGCUUUACUGUAACUUGAAAUUGGAAUUGGACUUUGCUUGCGCAGUAUAGGUGGGAAGCGUUGAAAAUAUUCUUGCGGGAGUAUUGGAGCUAUCAGUGAGAUACCACUCUUGUAAUGUUAGAUUUCUAACUUUGAACCAUAAUCUGGUCAAAGAACAGUUUCAGGUGGGCAGUUUGACUGGGGCGGUCGCCUCCCAAAUGGCAACGGAGGCGUACAAAGGUUUCCUCUGAACGGAUAGAAAUCGUAUCUAGAGUGUAAAGGCAUAAGGAAGCUUGACUGUGAGACCUACAAGUCGAGCAGGGACGAAAGUCGGUCUUAGUGAUCUGACGGUACUGAGUGGAAAGGCCGUCACUCAACGGAUAAAAGUUACUCUAGGGAUAACAGGCUGAUCUCCCCCAAGAGUUCACAUCGACGGGGAGGUUUGGCACCUCGAUGUCGGCUCAUCGCAUCCUGGGGCGGUAGUACGUCCCAAGGGUUGGGCUGUUCGCCCAUGAAAGCGGUACGCGAGCUGGGUUCAGAACGUCGUGAGACAGUUCGGUCCAUAUCCGGUGUAGGCGCUAGAAUAUUGAGAGGAGCCUUCUUUAGUACGAGAGGACCGAGAAGGACACACCGCUGGUGUACCAGUUAUCGUGCCAACGGUAAACGCUGGGUAGCUAUGUGUGGAGUGGAUAACCGCUGAAAGCAUCUAAGUGGGAAGCCCACCUCGAGAUGAGUAUUCCC
rnacentral:rRNA from 1 species